rnacentral:rRNA from 1 species
GACGAACGCUGGCGGCGUGCCUAAUACAUGCAAGUAGAACGCAGUUGCGAACGGGUGAGUAACGCGUAGGUAACUGCCUCAUCGCGGGGGAUAACUAUUGGAAACGAUAGCUAAUACCGCAUACUGUGAGAUGGACCUGCGGUGUAUUAGCUAGUUGGUGAGGUAACGGCUCACCAAGGCCACGAUGCAUAGCCGACCUGAGAGGGUGAGCAGCCGCGCGGGGAUUGAUACACGGCGCAAACGCCUACGGAAGGCAGCAGGAUGGGAGCUUGGGGAAGUGGCGGAAGUCUUACCGAGCAAAGCCGCGGGAGUGAAGAAGGUUUUGUGAUCGUAAAGCUCUGUUGUUAGAGAAGCGGUAACUAACCAGAAAGGGACGGCUAACUACGUGCCAGCAGCCGCGGUAAUUC